rnacentral:rRNA from 1 species
AUUGAACGCUGGCGGCAGGCCUAACACAUGCAAGUCGAGCGGGGGUAGCAAUACUCUAGCGGCGAACGGGUGAGGAAUGCUUGGGAAUCUGCCUGGUAGUGGGGGAUAACGUUCCGAAAGGAACGCUAAUACCGCAUACGUCCUACGGGAGAAAGGGGGGGAUCUUCGGCCCUCUCGCUAUCAGAUGAGCCGAAGCGGGAUUAGCUAGUUGGUGAGGUAAAGGCUCACCAAGGCGACGAUCCCUAGCUGGUCUGAGAGGAUGAUCAGCCAACCUGGAACUGGAACACGGUCCAGACUCCUACGGGAGGCAGCAGUGGGGAAUAUUGGACAAUGGGCGAAAGCCUGAUCCAGCCAUCCCGCGUGUGUGAAGAAGGCCUUCGGGUUGGAAAGCACUUUAAGCGAGGAGGAAGGUGCGGCACCUAAUACGUGACGGAAUUGACGUUACUCGCAGAAUAAGCACCGGCUAACUCUGAGCCAGCCGCCGCCGUAACAC